rnacentral:rRNA from 1 species
UACGUAGGAUCCAAGCGUUGUCCGGAUUUACUGGGCGUAAAGAGCGCGCAGGCGGUCGUUCAAGUCGCGUGUGAAAGCCCCCGGCUCAACUGGGGAGGGUCACGCGAUACUGAUCGACUCGAAGGCAGGAGAGGGAAGUGGAAUUCCCGGUGUAGUGGUGAAAUGCGUAGAUAUCGGGAGGAACACCAGUGGCGAAGGCGACUUCCUGGCCUGUUCUUGACGCUGAGGCGCG